ACGAAAUAAUUUGAUCUAUGGACAGCAUCAUUGUGGUAAAGGUCGUAAUGCCAGAGGAAUCAUUACCGCAGGGCAUAGAGGGGGAGGUCAUAAGCGUCUAUACCGUAAAAUCGAUUUUCGACGGAAUGAAUUAGUAAGUAAGCCAAAGAUCAACUGUCAUCACGCUGCCUUUCGCAUGUGUUUUCUCAAAAAGACGGUUGUCGCUACUGGACGACGAAAUGGAUUUUUGAAUUUAUUAACAUUCUCUAAAAAGGGUACUGUUAAUAAUCCCGCGGGUACUGAAAGCGUCUAUACCGUAAAAUCGAUUUUCGACGGAAUGAAAAAGACAUAUAUGGUAGAAUCGUAACCAUAGAAUACGACCCCGGAACUAGUCGGAUGGAGUAGAUAAUUUCCUUCAAGGAUGCCACACGAGAAUGGUCCCCCCAGACGAUCAAGCUCACCGCAGAACUGUGCGAGAAUCUAAAUCAAAGUCUCAUGCAGACCGCCGGGAGCACGCUCGAUACAGGUGGGACCAGCGCUGAGUCGGGAACCUUCGACCCCUUGGAAAUAAGAGGAGG
rnacentral:lncRNA from 1 species